rnacentral:tRNA from 3 species
GCGCUCGUAGCUCAGUUGGAUAGAGCAACGGCCUUCUAAGCCGUGGGUCGCAGGUUCGAAUCCUGCCGGGCGCG